rnacentral:rRNA from 1 species
CCGGGUGAGUAACACGUGACUAACCUACCCUCGAGUGUGGAAUAACAUCGGGAAACCGAUGCUAAUACCGCAUAACAUCGCAAGAUCAAAGGAGCAAUCCGCUGAAGGAGGGGGUCGCGGCUGAUUAGUUAGUUGGUGAGGUAACGGCUCACCAAGACGAAGAUCAGUAGCCGGCCUGAGAGGGCGCACGGCCACACUGGAACUGAAACACGGUCCAGACUCCUACGGGAGGCAGCAGUGGGGAAUUUUGCGCAAUGGGGGAAACCCUGGCGCAGCAACGCCGCGUGGAGGAUGAAGUCCCUUGGGAUGUAAACUCCUUUCGAUCGGGACGAUUAUGACGGUACCGGAAGAAGAAGCACCGGCUAACUCUGUGCCAGCAGCCGCGG